CUCGGUUCAGCCAGACAGGUCAUUGCUUCAGCUGUCCAACAUCCAGUUUGUGGUGCUGCACAACAACCCCACUUUUUAGUGGAUAUAUUCAAGCGAACCCAAAGGCUCUUUUAAGAGCCAUCCACAUUGCACAGGUAAGUCAAUUUUGUGUCAUUUUGAAUAAAGUAAUUCCUUAGUAGUUUUUGUAACACCUGUUUAGGGCUGGGUAUUGUUUAAAAUCUUUCGAUCCGGUGCCAAUUUCGAGACCUCAGUUUCGAUACCGGUUCCUAACGAUACGUUUUCGAUACCAUAUGUUUUAAAAUCUAUUGAAACAUUAAAGGCGGAGUCCAUGAUGUUUGAAAGCCAAUGUUGAUAUUUGAAAUCACCUAAACAAACACGCCCCUACCCCAAUAGAAUCCGGACCUUCUGUUGAUAGACCCGCCCCACACAUACGCAACCCGGCAUUUUAUUUUAUUUUAUUUGCUAUGAGUGUGUUUUGGUAGUCGGCCCGUCUUCUUUUCCAAAGCGUUUUUCAAACAUUGUGGACUCCGCCUUUAACAAAAAUACAUUAAACACACACCUUUUAUAACUAUAGAUUUUUAAAACAAAUUCUGGUAACACUUCUCACUCAGGGUAACAUUAUUAAUACAACUGGUUGUGCUUUUUGGACUUAUUAGUUUUUUUAUGAAAAUAAGGAAACAAAAAUAAAGAAAUUAAGAAUAUAAUUAACACUGCUUUAUUUUAUGAAAUGUAAAAUGGUAUUUAGCUUGGACUAACAGUAUUUAAAUAAGUGGGUUCAUUAUAGCUGCAGCUUUGACAAAAGUUAAAAUAUUUAAAUGGGUGACUGAGUUUUACUGAGGAUUUGUAUGCAUGUUUGUUUUUUUGUAAACAACACUCAACUUCAUAAUUAUCAAAAUAUUAAAUACAUUAUAAAAAAGCGAGAAAAAGUAGAAAAAGCGUUCAAUGUAAUUUCAUUCAAGUGAAAUUAGCAAACCAGUUUUUAAUUUGUUUUAAAGGGAUAGUUCGGCCAAAAACGAUAUUAAACCCAUGAUUUACUCACCCCCAAGCUGUCUGAGUUGCAUAUGUCCAUCGUUUUUCAGACAAACACAUUUUCGGAUAUUUUAGAAAAUCCUUUAAAUCUUUCAGUUGAUUAAAUGUAAUGUUACGGGGUCCACCAAUAGUCCACGACCUUCAAGUCCAAAAAAGUGCGUCCAUCCUUCACAAAUUAAAUCCAAACGGCUCCAGGAUGAUAAACAAAGGUCUUCUGAGGGUAAUCCGUGCGGUGUUGUUGUAGAAAUAUCCAUAUUUAAAAUAUUAUUAACGUAAUUAACUACCUUCCAGUAGCGCCGCCAUCUUAGACUCCUCUGUAUUCAGGAUGAGAGCUUACGAUGCUUACGGAGGUUUCUCUGCUGCUGCUCUGUGCCCCGCCCUCCGAAUUUGUCAUACGUCACUAAGAACAUUUUUCAGAAAUCCUCCCCGUCACGUGGUGGUGGACAGCCAAUCGCCGGCGCUUUAGGUCCUUACACGCAAGUACAGGCUCUCACACAGACAUAGCCGCUUGGCUUUUGGAAUAGAAAUUUGGCACCGAAAGAUAAAUAAUUUUUCGUUACUCAAAUUAUCAGAGUUUUCGUUCGAUACCAUAAAAGUAUCAACGUUCGGUACCCAGCCCUACACCUGUUCAUUUACAAUUAUUUUGUAAAUAAUUGACUGCUUUACAAUUCUAUUCCAAUAACAGGGUCAUUUUACCCAAGGAUUGUAAUGUUUAUUGUAAUGCAUAUUAGUGCUGAGCUCAUGAGCUCCUGGUGAUGCGCGCAUUCAUACAGUACCUUCCAUAUUGAUUCUGACACACUUUUGAAGGAAGUGUUACAGAUCAUACUGUAAUUCCUCAAAUAAAGACCGGGGCCUUAUUUACCUAAACGGCUGAAGGUAACAGGCUUUUAUUUGAAGCAGGCUUUUAUUAGAGACAGUCCUUUAUUUCAAAUUCCAUCUGUUUGAUAAAUAAUUGUUUUAAAUUAGCCGUUAAAUAAAAAGUGAUAGCGUUCUAGUGGAUAGAGAUCAUUCAUUUUUAACCAUAAUUUUUUUCAAGGUUGCUGAAAAGUCCGUCACUAGCAUUAAAUGAGACCCAUCCAAUGUAUUUACUGCCAUCUAUUGGCAGCUGUGCAUUAUGAUGAACUUGAAUACAUUUAGGAGAUAACACCGCGCUCACAUUAUCCAAACCAUGCCCCAGCGCGAUCGUCCCCCUCCAUACUCCAUGCACGCACUCAAACUUUACUUUUAUCAAUCUGAGCCCGAGCGAGCUUUCGUCAUUAGAAUGCGUUUGUUUUGAACAAAGCAGGAGGUAAAGCACUCUCUUAACACUGGAACCCAUCGUAAUGUUAAGUCUGUGUUUUUUAUUCAGAGUCGUAUGAAGCCCUCUCACAUGCCUAUGAUAUCGCUUAAUUGAUGUGUCGUGUGUGCAUCGUAGAUAUUCACUUAGCCCUGCUGCGUGCAUUAAAAGGUUUUAACGAAGGCAGAUGAAGGUGAAAGCUUGCACAGUUGAAGUCUCUCCUUUUGAAAGUCGCGAUUGCGCUCACACUGCGCCUAAAAAGCUUUGAAGUAUAAACUGAAGCUUUGUUUAUACUCGCGCUUUGGUCCGCAACACAAGCCUCCGCAGAUCGCGCGCGUGUAUCACCAAACGGACGAGGCGUUUACGGAGCAUUCACACGGGGUGCAAGUAAGCUCUCACUCAUUUCCCCAGACACUCAUCUUUCCAUGGCCUUAAUUUGAGACCAGCCUUUAUUUGUCUGCGAUGAUCACGCCCCCGGCCACUAUCAGAGGCCCGGCGUUUAUUUGAAUAACGGAUUUAAUUUGAGGAAUUACAGUAUAUUUAGUCUGAGGUCAUAUGGAAAGGACGCAAGCAUGUGACCCGUGGAGAUCGUUAAAGGAGUAGUCCACUUUAUAGAUGGGGCCCAUUGACUUACCAUAGUAUUUUUUUUCUUACUAUAAGUCAAUGGACCCCAUCUUUAAAGUGGCCUACUCCUUUAAGUGGGGAGUGGAGAACGAUGAGCUGGGUUUUUUUCCUCAAUUGUCUCCGUCUUGCACGCACACUCGUCUGCACUGCACAUCCUUUCCUAAGUCUGUGCUCUCUUUCUUUAUAAGCAGAUAUCUUAACUUUAAUAUCAUUCAUCACUCACCCAUUCAGCAGUUUAAGUAGAAUUGCACAUAAAGACUGCAUGUCGUGUCUUAAGCAAUUUAUAAUAAACCUAUUGCGUGGCAUUUUAUACACUCUCUUAAUGUACGUACACACCGCCGCAGACCUAAGCUUCCAAAGAAGCUCAGACCGCCUGGUCAAGGAUGCUUGUCAAAAAGUACGGGGAAGCUUGUUGACGCUUUGGCUGCUCUGAAGUCUGUGUCACCAUGAAAUGUUAAUGAAAAAAAAUACAUUGACAUUAUAAACCUUUUAUAAUGACAGCAGUUUUAUAAUCGUUUUGGUCACAUUUGGUCUGGAAAAAAAAUUAUUAGCUAUUAUUAUUAUUAUUACUAUUAUUAUUUUAUUGCAUCUGUGCAAUUGGUUAAAUCUGUGUUACUGUGAAACAUGAAUCACGGAUUACCUGCGAUGUUACUAUAUGGAUUAAUACAUCGUGAUAUCGAUGCUUAAAUGAUACGCUGUGCAGUUCUACUGGCAAGACACAGACACAUUUGAGUAUCUAUCAGUAAAAUAUUAUAAAUCAUCAGCACGCACUUCACAAACUCACCGGGAAAACCAACUAUACCAGCUUUUAUAUCCCAUGCCUCGUUCUUUUGUAACUGGUCCCUAUAUGAAAAUAAUUUAAUAUCAUAAAUGUAUCAUAAAUGAUAGGAAACGACAGCAACAGUGAUUAUCAAUUUCUACACAAAACGAAAGUUAACAUUGUAUGUUAACUGAUGAUGCCGCUGAACUGCGCCAUAGCUUAUUUCCAUAAAGUUGAGCUUCUUUCAUUUUUCUGAUUGACGCUAUGGUCCCUCAAGACGCCCAAAAUGCAACGCUAAUGGAUUUGACGCCCCUUGCAGCUGAGAGAAGCCAGCUUUCAUUGUAAAUGAAUGACUUCCAGUAACUUUGGAAGCUCAAGUCUGCGGCGGUGUGUUUGUACAGUUAUAAUCAGGCUUGUGCAUAAUUUAGAAUUGAAUUGAGAAUGACUCCUGAAUUCCAAUUAAAUUCUUGAAUUUGAAUUGAAUUUAAAUUAAAGGAAGCAGAAUUGCAAUUCAAUAGAAAUUUAUAUAUAUUUAAAAAUGAAGCUUUACAGUAUAUGUCAGAAAUGAUUGCAUUACAUAUUCUAUUAGUUUGAACUACUUGUACAGAUUACAUUAACAGGAAAUGUUUUUCCCUUGCAAUUAAUGUUAAAAACUCAAGUCACAUAACAAAUAAUUAAGUUUGAUUUUUUUGUAAUUGUAAUUUUGUGGAACAUGACUUUAUUUUCCCAGAAUGCUUUACUUUAACAAAGUAUUUAAAAUGGUUGCCAAACAAUUUUCUAAAGUAACUUUCCUAACACUGAAUCUAUUUGAGAUUCUUUCUGUUGUGUGACUGUGGAAUUUUUUUGAAUUGCCAUGAAUUUAAUUCUGCUUCCUGUCAUUCCAAUUCAAAUUCAACUUCCUGUAGGGCGGAGUCAAUUAAAAUACCAAUUCAUGAAUUGAAUGGAGGCCAAUCCUGAAAUUCUAAGUUGUGCACAAGCCCGACAGUCAUGCAUUUAGAAACAAAGACGACAAAGAGCUGCAGGUGUAAAGUGUGUGUUUAGGUGAAGAGAGUUCAGAAAUUGUUUGCGAUACACAGCCCUAGUGGAUAUGACUAACUUGGGAAUGCUGUGUAUGACUUAGGGGAUAGCAGAAACACAAUAGGUUGAUGAUGCUGUAUUUUUUUGUAUAACUUUAAUCAUACCUUGCCUGAACUUUAAACCAAAAUUUGUCUUUUUGUUCUUUUAGGACUUUUUCUAUUGGACGUCUUAUUCAUUAUUACGCUGAAAACGUAUAAAAACGCUGAAAACGUAUAAAAACGCUGAAAACGUAUAAAAACGCUUCUUGUGAUUCUGAAAAAACGCUUCUUGUGAUUCUGAAAAACGCUUCUUGUGAUUCUGAAAACCCCCUUCCUGUGAGCCUUAAAAUCUUCUUCCUGUGAACCCAACUACAAAAACCAAGUUAACAUUGACACCAGUUAGUGAACUACAAUUACUGCAAGAGAAAAGGAGCUCCAAAACAUCUCUUCCAGUACACCUUGCUGCCUGUUGUCUUCAAGAAGGACCACUGAUUCAAGCUCAGCUUUUGAAGACCACUGUUUAACGUUACAUUAGUUACAUUUUUGUGGUGUUGUUUAUCAUACAGGUUUAUUUUAUAAGGUAUAUACAAUUAAAUAGUCUUUCUGUAGUCGUGUUAAUCACAUUUUGAAACAAAAACAUUUACUGUACAGUAGACGUUAAAGUACAUUUGGGUGACAUUUUAUUUAUUAUAAACAUUCUGCUACAUAUUACAUUAGUCUGAGUUAAUAAAUCUGUGCCAGUAUUACAUUAGUCUGAGUUAUAACAUCUGUGUUACAUUAGUCUUAGUUGUUACACCUCUUUUAAGUAUUACAUUAGUUUUGAGUUGUUUAAUCUGUGCUAGAAUUACAUUAGUCUGAGUUAUAACAUCUGUUUUACAUUAGUCUGUGUUAUUACAUUUGGGUUAAGUCUUACACUAGUCAGUUAUAACAUCUGUUUUACAUUAGUCUGUGUUAUUACAUUUGGGUUAAGUCUUACACUAGUCAGUUAUAAUAUCUGUUUUAUAUUCAUCUGAGUUAUUAAAUCUGUGCUAGUAUAUUAUUAGUUCUUUUUUUGCAUUCCUGUUAAUCUCAUAUAUAACUUCAGUGGAUAAGUAAACAGUAAAAAUUUACUUAAAUCUUAUUUAAUCUGUGUUAGGAGAGUGUGAAUCAUACGUGACGUUGUGUGCUGUAUAACACCAUUGUGAUUUAAAGCAUUCGUGCUUACAGUUAAGCAAUAUUUUCAUAUAUUUGUGUGUCAUAUAUUUAACUUCAUUGAGUAAUUGAUUGCAUAAUAGACAUUACCUGUGGCUAUAAGUUCAUAAUCAGUCAUAUAUUUUAAAAUUGAUCUGUUUAAGCAUUACAUCUGCUCCACCUAGUUGCUUUGUAUAUCUCAAUACUUUACUGUGUAGUUGAUUAUAUAGGCAUUUUAUACAAGUAAAAAGAUACUAA